GUCUGACCUGCCCACUGAAAUUUAUUUGAAGGGCCGCGGUAAUUUGACCGUGCGAAGGUAGCAUAAUCAGUAGUCUUUUAAUUGAAGGCUGGAAUGAACGGUUGGACAAGGAGUUAGCUGUCUCUUUUAUUUAUCUUGAAGUUCACUUUUAAGUGAAAAGGCUUAAAUACACUUGGGGGACGAUAAGACCCUAUAAAACUUUACAGUCUAAUCUAUAUUCCGUAAAGUAGUGUGUAAUGCUGAUUAUAGGGGGUCUGUUGUGUUGGGGCGACAAAGAUAUAAUAAAGUAACUGUUAAGCGCAUGAUAUAAUAAUAAUUAGCUAAUUGAUCCUCUACUAAAGAUUAAAAGAUUAAGUUACUUUAGGGAUAACAGCGUAAUUUUCUCUGAGAGUUCUUAUCGACGAGAGUAGUUGCGACCUCGAUGUUGAAUUAAGAUUUCUUUUAAAUGUAGCAGUUUAAUUAGUGGGUCUGUUCGACCUU
rnacentral:rRNA from 1 species